GACGAGCGCUGGCGGCGUGCUUAACACAUGCAAGUCGAGCGAUGAAGUUUUUUCGGAAAUGGAUUAGCGGCGAACGGGUGAGGAACACGUGAAGAAUCUGCCCUCCACUUUGGGAUAACACAGGGAAACCUGUGCUAAUACCGAAUAUUGAAACAUAAGUGGCAUCACUGAGUUUUGAAAGAAUUUCGGUGGAGGAUGACUUCGCGGCCUAUCAGCUAGUUGGUGAGGUAAUGGCUCACCAAGGCAACGACGGGUAGCCGGCCGGAGAGGGCGACCGGCCACACUGGGACUGAAACACGGCCCAGACUCCUACGGGAGGCAGCAGUGGGGAAUAUUGGGCAAUGGAGGAAACUCUGACCCAGCGACGCCGCGUGCGGGAUGAAGGCCUUCGGGUUGUAAACCGCUUUCAGUAGGGAAGAAGCGAAAGUGACGGUACCUACAAAAGAAGCACCGGCUAACUAUGUGCCAGCAGCCGCAGUAA
rnacentral:rRNA from 1 species